rnacentral:rRNA from 1 species
GAGUUUGAUCCUGGCUCAGGAUGAACGCUAGCGGCAGGCUUAACACAUGCAAGUCGAGGGGUAUAGUUCUUCGGAAUUAGAGACCGGCGCACGGGUGCGUAACGCGUAUGCAAUCUACCUUUCACAGAGGGAUAGCCCAGAGAAAUUUGGAUUAAUACCUCAUAGUAUAACGACUCUGCAUGGAGAUGUUAUUAAAGUCACAACGGUGAAAGAUGAGCAUGCGUCCCAUUAGCUAGUUGGUAAGGUAACGGCUUACCAAGGCUACGAUGGGUAGGGGUCCUGAGAGGGAGAUCCCCCACACUGGUACUGAGACACGGACCAGACUCCUACGGGAGGCAGCAGUGAGGAAUAUUGGACAAUGGGCGCAAGCCUGAUCCAGCCAUGCCGCGUGCAGGAUGACGGUCCUAUGGAUUGUAAACUGCUUUUGCACAGGAAGAAACAACGCUACGUGUAGCGUCUUGACGGUACUGUGAGAA